rfam:Myotis brandtii contig218967, whole genome shotgun sequence.
GCAGACACCCCUAUGGAUCAGGACUUGCUUCAGUGGGGCUUUGGUGCUCACUGAGUCUGCCCCUUGAGUGUGUUGCU